CAUGCAAGUCGAGGGGCAGCAUGACCGAACCUAGUUUGGUUGAUGGCGACCGGCGAACGGGUGAGUAACGCGUACGAAACUUACCUUCGAGCGAAGGAUAGCCCUGGGAAACUGGGAUUAAUACUUCAUGGUAUUCAGUGACGGCAUCGUUAUUGGAUUAAAACUCCGGUGCUCGGAGAUAGUCGUGCGUCCUAUUAGAUAGUUGGUGAGGUAACGGCUCACCAAGUCGACGAUAGGUAGGGGGCGUGAGAGCGUGAUCCCCCACACGGGUACUGAGACACGGACCCGACUCCUACGGGAGGCAGCAGUGAGGAAUAUUGGACAAUGGGCGCAAGCCUGAUCCAGCCAUCCCGCGUGCAGGAUGACGGCCCUACGGGUUGUAAACUGCUUUUAUAUGGAAAGAAACGCUCGGAUUUAUCUGAGCCUGACGGUACCAUACGAAUAAGCACCGGCUAAUUCCGUGCCAGCAGCCGCGGUAAUACGGAAGGUGCAAGCGUUAUCCGGAAUCACUGGGUUUAAAGGGUGCGUAGGCGGUUUAAUAAGUCAGAGGUGAAAGCUCACAGCUUAACUGUGGAAUUGCCUUUGAUACUGUUAGACUUG
rnacentral:rRNA from 1 species